GCACAGAAGGGCCGCGCCACGUGGUGAUGCUGCACGGCCCGGGGUGGUGAUGUAAUGGUGGGAAGGGCCAGGCAGAGCCUUCCAGCAAACCUGCUGGCUCCUGCAGGGAACUGUUACGAGGGCAGUGGAAAGCUGAAGUGUGAACUGGAGAUAAUAGGCUCAGGAUGGUGAACCACGAGCCCAGGGAGGGCUGCACAGCACCAGUUCCAGCAGGGCCUCAUGGCACUCCAGGGUGGAGAGCAGAGGCAAAGCAUCCCAUCCAAAAAGACCUGUGCCAGCCUCACCUCUCCAUCUGACUCCUGACAACAACUGUGGCCACCCCUUCUCCGUUUAUGUGACAUCAUUCCAGCUCAGUCUGCGGUGGUUAGAGUGG